rnacentral:tRNA from 1 species
UAGAAAGUGGUGUAGUGGAUGCACAAAGAGUCUUGGUCUCUUUAGGUUAGGUUCGAGUCCUUUCUUUCUAA